rnacentral:tRNA from 1 species
GCCUGGGUAGCUCAGUGGUAGAGCAGAGGCCUGAAGAGCCUCGUGUCGGGAGUUCGAUUCUCUCCCCAGGCACCA